rnacentral:lncRNA from 1 species
UCCCAAAGAAGAGGAUUCUCAUCACUUUCACCAAAUCUCAGCCGAGAAACUCUAUAGGGGGAACUAACUGGAGUCCACCGCCUAGCAGAUCGCCGCAGAAUCAUCACAACAGUGUUCAGCCGAUAUUCAAAGUACCUUCUCCUCCGCUUGCCUCUCCAAUGCCGUUCCCAGGUGGUGUCUUACCUGUGGGAACGAGCUGGCCACUGCCACCACCUCAGCCAAGAGUGCCUGUCCCUGGCACUGGUGUGUUCCUCCCACCAGGUUCAGCCCAACAACAGGUUGUACUAGGCUCCACAGAGAAAUCCAACGACAGCAAUGGAAACAACUGUGCAGAAGGAAAGAUAUAGAGAGCAGAGAUAGAAACUUGGAGCUGCAGUUUUUAAACUAUAAAAAGAGCAGCUACUGCUAUUAAACGUUAUCUCUUUUUGUUUUGUUUUUUUUUUGUUUGCUACUUCAGAAAAUUGUUUAUUAGGAAAAAAGAGAACGAGCGAAAUUUACAUGUUUUGACGUUUUCUUCUCUCUGAAAUCACUUAGUUAUCAACUUUACAAUCAAGCGUGCUUGUGAACUAUACUUGUCAAUACCGCUCAUCCACAAAAUAGAGUUGUAUCCAUGCCAUUCCUAUAGUGUCCAUCGUUUUCAUCUACAAUAAUCAUAUGUUUGGGCUUAUUGCUGGUUUAGUCCAGUUCCUCUAGUAACUUAGUAAGUGGGCUUCAGACUACUAAUUAUAGCGUAUAUAUAACUGGUUCAAGCUUCACUCUCAAGUUUGUUAAGUUUUUGAUCUUUCAAUCCGUUUAUGUUUGAACAGAUCUCUUCUUCUGGUGGAAGGCAACUCCGCAGAUCUUGCCAAGUUUGCUAUUCACUCAAUCCCAAAGAAGAGGAUUCUCAUCACUUUCACCAAAUCUCAGCCGAGAAACUCUAUAGGGGGAACUAACUGGAGUCCACCGCCUAGCAGAUCGCCGCAGAAUCAUCACAACAGUGUUCAGCCGAUAUUCAAAGUACCUUCUCCUCCGCUUGCCUCUCCAAUGCCGUUCCCAGGUGGUGUCUUACCUGUGGGAACGAGCUGGCCACUGCCACCACCUCAGCCAAGAGUGCCUGUCCCUGGCACUGGUGUGUUCCUCCCACCAGGUUCAGCCCAACAACAGGUUGUACUAGGCUCCACAGAGAAAUCCAACGACAGCAAUGGAAACAACUGUGCAGAAGGAAAGAUAUAGAGAGCAGAGAUAGAAACUUGGAGCUGCAGU